rnacentral:Y_RNA from 1 species
GGCUGGUCCGAAGGUAGUGAGUUAUCUCACGUGAUUGUUCACAGUCAGUUACAGAUUGAACUCCUUGUUCUACUACUUUCCCCCCUCCUCACUACUGCACUUGACUAAUCUUAA